rnacentral:rRNA from 1 species
AACGAACGCUGGCGGCAGGCCUAACACAUGCAAGUCGAACGCCGUAGCAAUACGGAGUGGCAGACGGGUGAGUAACACGUGGGAACGUGCCCAAAGGUACGGAACAACUCCGGGAAACUGGAGCUAAUACCGUAUGUGCCCGAGAGGGGAAAGAUUUAUCGCCUUUGGAUCGGCCCGCGUCUGAUUAGCUAGUUGGUGGGGUAAUGGCUCACUAAGUCGACGAUCAGUAGCUGGUCUGAGAGGAUGGCCAGCCACCCUGGGACUGAGACACGGCCCAGGCUGCUACGGGAGGAAGCGGUGGGGAAUAUUGGACAAUGGGCGAAACCCUGAUCCAGCCAUGCCGCGUAAGUGAUGAAGGCCCUAGGGUUGUAAAGCUCUUUCGCCAGGGACGAUAAUGACGGUACCUGGAUAAGAAGCCCCGGCUAACUUCGUGCCAGCCGCCGCCGUAACAC